rnacentral:RNase_P_RNA from 1 species
GUUAGUUAUACGGUCGCGGGGACGGAGAGAAACCGUCAAUGAGGAAAGUCCGAGCGUUACAGAAACAGGGUGCCGGAGAAAUCCCGGUGAAGGCGACUUUAAGGAAAGUGCAACAGAAAAUUACCGCCGAGCAAUCGGUAAGGGUGAAAAGGCGAGGUAAAAGCUCACCGCUUCCGCGGUAACGCGGAGGGCAAUGUAAACCCCGCCCGACGCAAGAUUGACAAACUUUUUCGCUUGGGGAGUUUCGCCCGAAAAGGUUUAAUAAAAUAUCGCUGGGGGAUACGGGUAACCGUAUUCGUAGAUAAAUGACCGUACACGACAGAACUCGGCUUACAGAUUAACUU